CUUGGAGUCUUCUCAGCGAGCCUAGGACAAGGGAGAAAAAUGUACCUGAAAGUUCAUAAGGAAGUAUGCUGAGAAAUUCAAAAUUCAAAGCGAAGGCUCACUUCUACUAGGGGAGAAAUAUUCCUGAAAGUUUUUCCU